UGAAUUGUCUAAGCAUGAGUUGCCUAUAAUAUCUGAGAUGUCUAAGGUUCCUGAAUUGUCUAAGCGCGAGUUGCCUAAAGUCUCUGAAUUGCUUAAGCCCGAGUUACCUAAAGUACCCAAGUUGCCUGAGAUUUCUGAAUUGCCUAAGCCCGAGUUGACUAAAGUACCUGAGUUGCCUAAGGUUCCUGAAUCGUUUAAGCUCGAGUUGACUAAAAUACCUGAGUUGACUAAAGUAUCUGAGUUGUCUAAGGUUCCUGAAUUGCCUAAACCUACGUUUCCUAAAGUACCUAAGCCAGAAUUGCCUAUGGUCCUUGAAUUGCCUAAGCUCGAAUUGUCAAAAAUACCUAAAAUACCUAAGGUUCCUGAAUUCCUUAAGGUUCCCAGGACAUUUUCAACUACCAAUCUUCAGUUUGAAUUAUUCCUUACGCUGUCUUGUCCUCAGAUCAAAAUUGGCUGCAUUCCAGUACCUAGGUCAUGUUGUUUGAUAGAUGUGAUUUGAUAUAUGUUAAUUUUCACUCGUGUAUAAUAUGUUUUAGCUACUUAAGAGUUAAGAGUGAUUGUGUCGGUUUACAAAUAUUUUGAACCAUACUAUAAAUUAUGUUUAAUUUGGAGUUAUUUAAGUUGAUUACAGUUAUACCAUUGCGUACUAAUAGACAUCUUCAUGUAAUGUUGUGAAUUUAAUAAGAUUGUCAUUUCUGAGUACAACUUUCUAGACAUUUUGCUACUAAUUGGUUCUGUCGUUACAUUUUUUUCUUGUUUUAACAGACUCAAUAACAUUGAAUUCAGCUAUCGAAAUUUUAUCAAUGCUCUCUGCAAAGCAAAGGAAACUAUGAUCAGGGGUCAUAUCACACACAAAUUAGCAUUUUCGUAUAUCUAAUUCUCACAUCUAACAUUUGAUACAAUCUUGAUUCGCUACUAUUAUGCCUCGGGAAAGUACACUGAUUUAUUAGAAUUUCCACAAGUAAUGACGUUUACAUGUAUUGAUGCAUUAAAACAAAACUAAUUGGAUAUGAUUAGGAUUGAAGAAUGCUCUUUAUUAUUAUAAUUUUUUAUGGAAACUAUUGACAUUUGAGAACAAGCAAGAAUUUAAAAGUACUGAAAUUAUCAAUAUUAACAAUGCGUAAUUUUAUUUUAUAAUUAAAUUUGGCUCUUAUUUAAACUAUGUGGCAAUUAUGGGAUCCCUAAAUGAUGAAGAAGCAGCAGUUCGACCCAAGCGCACCACAAAGAGGCCCACUAAUUAGGAGGAAUAUAUCCACUAGCAUAGCAGAAAAGGACAAUUUGGGAAUUCACCUUAGGAUAGUGCCUUCCUCAUCGUGCUUGUCUCGCACGAACGUUUGCUUUGCGAUUCUUGUCCCCCAGAGAUCACGGCAGAAUUGAUCUUGUUUCCUGUUUUUCCAGCAUUGUUAAUAUUUCUAUUUUUUUGAAAAUAUUUAAAUAGAUGUAAUGAAUCAAGAGGAAGGCAAUGAGAAUUUUCGAUUUCUUACCUUAAUCUCGCUGCUUCUGGAGGUUGAUUCCUGUCCUCCAAUUCAGGAAUAUCUUCAUCCCUACCAAUUGGUGCUUCCAUUGACCCUCCCCAUGGCAGACAACACUUGUAGCCACACCCUCUCGCGCCUUGAAGAAGCUGUCACCCUCCUCACACAAAACCAAACCACACUCACAGCCACUCAAAAUUCCCUACAUACCCGUCUCGACGAGGUCCUAGCUCGUCUACAGUCCCUCGAAGCUUCUUCCCCCUCCAUGUCUCCCCGGCCCUCCACGCCACGCAUGAACCUUGAUAUCCCCCGUUUCGACGGCACUAAUGCUCUGGCCUGGAUUUUCAAGAUAACCCAAUUUUUUGAUUACCAUCGCACCCCCGAGGACGACCGUCUUCAGGUAGCCUCCUUUUACCUUGAAGGCGCCGCACUAAGCUGGUUUCAGUGGCUCUACCGCAAUGACCAAUUACCCUCUUGGUCUUCAUUUAUCCAAGCUCUUGAGCUCCGCUUCGCACCCACCCUCUAUGACGAUCCUCGCGGCGCCUUGUUUAAGCUCUCUCAGCACGGUUCAGUAUCCAGCUACCUCGCCGAGUUUGAGUCUCUGGCCAACCGGAUCGUGGGCUUACCCACCCCUUUUCUCCUCAGCUCUUUCAUUUCGGGCCUCCACCCCGACAUCCGGCGCGAGGUACUGGCCUUACAACCCCUGUCCCUCGUCCAGGAGGUGGCGCUAGCCCGCCUCCAGGAGGACAAACUAUUCGACGCUCGCCGCUCCUCACGCCCCAAACCAUCCCCCCUUACCUUCCCCGCUAACCCACAACCACUCACCACCAUCACCCCUCCUCCCCUGUUACCCUCUCCCCCAAAACCUACCUACAAACGACUUACCCAGGCAGAAAUGGCGUCUCGCCGCAAACGUGGGUUGUGCUACCACUGCGACGAGCGCUAUGGCCCCAACCACCGUUGCCGUGCCAAGUUCUUCCUCCUCAUUGCUCCCCAGGACGAUGACGACCCCUUUCCACCAGACUCCCCUGAUACCAUUGACACAAACCCACCUCCACCACCCCCACCAGACCCCGACCCCGCCCAACUCACUCUUUACGCUUUGUCUGGCCAACCAACCCCCGCCACCCUUCGAGUCAUAGGCACCAUUAAGGGCCACGACACGGUCAUCCUCGUGGACGGAGGUAGUACACACAACUUCGUCCACGACCGCCUAGCCCACUUCCUCAACCUCAACCCUCAGACCAUCCCUCUUUUACCCGUCAUGGUCGGCAACGACACCGAGGUCCAUUGCGACAAGGUUUGCCGCAAUGUCGCCAUUUCCAUCCAGGGCUGCCACUUUACCCUUGACCUACAUGUAAUGACGUUGGGCGGACCCGAUAUCGUCCUUGGUGUGGCCUGGCUCAAGCUUUUGGGCCCAAUAACCACGGACUAUUCGCACCUCACAAUGACCUUUCACCACCAAGGCAAGCCCAUCACCAUCCACGGGGAACUUACCUCAGGCCCAAUUGAAAUCCCUCACGACCAAGUCCGGAGCCUCCUUACCACCAACCGGGUUGCGGCCUUAUUUCACAUCCAGCUUCUCUCCCCUGACCCGCCAUCCCCAACCUUACCAUCCACACCCCCUCCCCUUCGUUCCCUCCUCACCAAAUAUUCCACCCUGUUUCAACCUCCGGCACACCUACCCCCCACUCGACCAACAUACCACUCCAUCCACCUUGAACCAAAUUCCCAACCAGUCAACGUCCGCCCCUAUAGAUACCCAUAUUCUCAUAAGUGCGAGAUUGAACGGCAAGUUGACGACAUGCUUCGUCGUCAACUCAUACGUCCCAGCCGUAGCCCGUAUUCCAGUCCGGUGCUUCUUGUCAAGAAAAAGGAUGGGACAUGGCGGUUCUGUGUGGACUACCGUGCACUGAACUCGCUCACGAUCAAGGAUCGAUUUCCUCUACCCACCAUUGAUGAACUCCUUGACGAUUUGGGCAAUUCUUCUUGGUUCUCGAAGAUGGACCUUGCGCAGGGAUUCCAUCAGAUUCGCAUGGAGGAGCAAGACAUACCCAAAACUGCAUUCAGAACACAUCAAGGCCAUUACGAAUACAUCGUGAUGCCCUUUGGCCUCUGCAAUGCGCCAUCGACUUUCCAGGCUACAAUGAAUGAGCUCUUUCGCCCAUUUAUCCGCAAAUUCAUGCUCGUCUUCUUUGACGACAUAUUGGUUUUCAGUAGCGAUUUCCAGGCUCACCUCCACCACCUGGAGUGUGUUUUCAGAACCUUGCAACAGGGGCAAUUCCAUUUGAAAGCUUCCAAAUGCAUCUUCGGGCAACGGCGUAUUGAGUAUCUCGGCCAUUUCGUCUCUUCCCAGAGAGUAGAACCCGACCCGUCCAAGAUUAAGGCUAUGCUACAAUGGCCUCCUCCGACUACACCCAAACAACUUCGCGGUUUCCUAGGACUAACCGGGUUCUACCGGCGUUUUUUUCACCGUUAUGCCCAAAUAGCUGAACCAUUGACCCAACUCCUGCGUAAGGACGGGUUCAAAUGGACACCCGAGGCCCAAACUGCUUUCGCCAAGCUCAAGGAGGCCAUGACCGCCACACCUGUGCUCGCCUUGCCGGAUUUCACCAUCCCUUUCGUUCUGGAGACCGACGCCUCUGGGUCCGGCAUGGGUGAUGUUCUGAUGCAAAGGGGUCACCCCAUUGCUUACUUUAGUAAGCAAUUCUGCCCCAAGCUCCUCCGAUCUUUUACAUACAUACGGGAGCUUCACACAAUCACCACCGCCGUCAAACGCUGGCGUCAAUAUCUCCUGGGCCACACCUUCGUGAUUCUAACGGACCAUAAGAGUCUUCGCGAGUUGAUGACUCAACCGGUUCAGACCCCAGAACAACAUGUAUACCUGGCCAAGCUUCUUGGUUACAAUUAUUCUAUCCAGUAUAAGGCUGGCCGUAACAAUGUAGUAGCAGAUGCCCUCUCGCGCCUUCAUGAACCGGACUCCGUAGCUGCAUGUUUCCAAAUCAUCUCCAUGCCCCACCCACAAUUCCUUGACGAGCUCAAGAGGGAAUUAUCGGGAUCGGACGAAUUCAAGACACUCAUGCUCCAAGUUCGCAACCAUCCUUCCGAUUAUCCGGGUUUCAAAAUCAGAGACAACCUGCUCCUUUUUCAGGGCAGCAUUUGGCUUAAUCAGGGCAACCCUUUUAUUCCCCUUCUUCUGGAGGAAUAUCACAAAUCCCCCCUCGGUGGUCACAUGGGGCUUGCUAAGACCCUGGGUCGUCUCCAGCAAAGCUUUUUCUGGGAACACAUGCGCCGUGAUACCCAGAACUUUAUAAAGCAAUGUUCGAAUUGGCUUCAGACCAAAUACACUCCAAAGAAGCCCGCCGGCCAUUUCCAGCCAAUCCCACCACCAUCACGGCCUUGGGAGGAUUUGGCCCUCGAUUUCAUCACUGGGUUACCCAUUUCGAAUGGCGCUACAGUCAUCAUGACGGUGGUUGAUCGUUUCUCCAAGGGCGGACACUUCGGGACUCUGCCAACCCAUUUCACAGCUCACAUGGCGGCCCACUUGUUCAUUGACCUCAUCUGCAAGCUUCACAGUUUCCCACGGAGCUUAAUCUCCGACCGUGACCCCCUCUUCCUCAGCAAGUUCUGGCGGGAGCUUUCCAAACUCAGCGGGACCAAGCUGCGCAUGAGCAUGGCUUAUCAUCCCCAGAGCGAUGGGCAAUCUGAGGUGCUCAACCGCGUCGUUGAACAAUAUCUUCGUAGCUUCGUUCAUGCAAAACCAGCAAAUUGGCACAAAUUUUUGAGUUUGGCGGAGUGGUGCUACAGUACAUCGCGCCAUUCUGCUACGGGGCUAACCCCAUACGAGGUCACUUAUGGUAAACCCCCGCCGGCGAUCCCUGACUACCUUCCGGGAACGUCGGAUGUCGAGGCAGUGGAUUUCCUCCUCACCUCCCGACAGGACAUGUUCACCACCCUCUGACGAAAGCUCGAAAAAUCGCAGGCUCAGAUGAAAGCCCAUGCUGAUGGCCAUCGUCGAGAGGUCAGCUUUCAAAUCGGAGACUGGGUCUACGUGAAGUUACGUCCUUACCGCCAAACCACAGUGGCCGACAAAUUCCACAAACUGGGGAAGCGCUUUUAUGGUCCUUAUCAGAUAACAGAAGUGAUAGGUAAGGUAGCUUAUCGCCUUGCAUUACCACCAACAGCUAAGAUCCACCCCGUGUUUCACAUUUCGAAGCUCAAACCGCAUCAGGGACCCAUCACGAAGGAACAGUCACUUCCCCCAUCCUCUUGGGCCAACAACCCAGUAGUGGCCCCACUGACUAUCCUGGACCACAAAUGGAGCGACCAUGACCCUCCCGAGCUUUCAGUCCUUGUCCAAUGGGCAGGACUCCAGCCUGAAGAUACUACAUGGGAACGCUGGGCUGACCUCCAAGACGUUUACCACCUUGAGGACAAGGUGCUUCCGGAAGAGGUAGGAGAUGAUAGAGAAGCAGCAGUUCGACCCAAGCGCACCACAAAGAGGCCCACUAAUUGGGAGGAAUAUAUCCACUAGCAUAGCAGAAAAGGGCAAUUUGGGAAUUCACCUUAGGAUAGUGCCUUCCUCAUCGUGCUUGUCUCGCACGAAUGUUUGCUUUGCGAUUCUUGUCCCCCAGAGAUCACAGCAGAAUUGAUCUUGUUUCCUGUUUUUCCAGCAUUGUUAAUAUUUCUGUUUUUUUGAAAAUAUUAUAAAUAGAUGUAAUGAAUCAAGAGGAAGACAAUGAAAAUUUUCGAUUUCUUACCUUAAUCUCUUUGCUUCUGGAGGUUGAUUCCUGUCCUCCAAUUCAGGAAUAUCUUCAUCCCUACCACUAAACCUUUUCUAUCCUUUCUUCUUAAUUGGUGGAUGUAUAUGGUGAUCAAGGUUUUAAAUAAUGAUUGCAGUUGUAUUGUAGUUUCGUCGCAUUUAUUGAUAUCGCAGUAAAUUAUAGACAAAUGCGGUUGCAGAUAGUUAAAAAAAUUUGAUAUUGCGGUCUAAAUCACCGUCACUCACUGUUUUUUACCUUGAUAGUGAUGAAGAAUUUUCACAAUUUUGGAUCUUUAACAUCUUUUAGCUACUGAUGAAGGUGGUGCUACACUGUACUAAUUAAGGCCAUAAUAUAUUUUUCACAACUAUUGAACUUGCAUGCUAAGGCACUGGCACUGUAUGAUAAUAUAAACUGAUAUUUUAUCACACUUAAUAAAAUUAUGUGUUUUUCCAUAAAAAAAUAAAAUUAAUUAUAUUAACAUAUAAAUCAAUCAAAUUAAAAUUAAUUUUUUUUGUUAAUUUAUUAUGCAAAUAAAAGAUAUUUCUAGUUUUUUUUCUAAAUCUUGAAAUUUCUUCUAUUGAUAUCAAUUUUUUAAAACUCAAUUUACAUAUCCACUUAUAAUAUAAGUAGUUAUCAGAGGGCAUGCACGAGUCACAACACUUUAGUUUAACAAUAUAUAAAACCUUUUAUAUAAUAUAAUUAAUUUUUAUUACUUGCAUCCAUUUGGUAAACAAUUAGUUUAAUAAUAAUAAUAAGUAUAAUACAUAAGAAAUGAAAAGUAUAAUAUGCAUAAUUAUCACAAAUCAUUGUUAAUUAUCAUUUUCAUUAUUAUAAUUAUAUAAUUAUAAAAAAAAUCUAAUUGCCAUCAAUUAUUAUAAUUACAUUACAAUUAUUAUAUAAUUUAAAAUAAAUUGUCUUUAAAAAAAUCAAAUAAAUCUAUUACUUAGACCUCUUGAGAAUGCUAUGUGUAAACAUUCCUAUUGAAAAAUAUUUUUCAAUAUUUUUGUAUGUAUUAUUAUAGAUUAUAUAACAUGAUAAAUAAUUAAAUAAUCAAUAAAAAUAUGUGUAACUCUUUAAUUUCUAGAAAAUUUAUCUAAAGAUUUUCAAUGGUCAACCAAACAAAUUUUAUUCAUCUCCAGGAAACAUGAUUCCCAGGCUUUGUGAUUCCUAGGAAUCAUGAUUCUCGGAUAUGAAAAAACUUAUUUUCUAUCAAACGUCUCGUAAAGGAAAUUUUUUUAAGUUAAAAUUAGUUAUCAAUCAUGUUGACAAUUACAAUGACAGAAACAAGAAUCUUCAAAAAAUUCAUUUAUAUUAAAAGGGUCUUGCUAACCAAUGCCCUAAGGACAUUGGUUAAGGAAUUAAAAAUAGAAAGUAUUUAUAAUGGAGAUCAUGGGCAAGCUAAAAAAAAGUAAUGGACAACACAAUUUUGUAUAUUCCAAUAUAAUUUUCUUCCUUUUAAUUCAUUAACGAAUGCCUUGAGGGCACUAGUUAGCAUUUGACAUAUUAAAAUAGUUCAAUAGAAUUAAGAUGUGCAUAUUUUUAUAAAAUAAAGCAAAAAUAAAGUGUAGUUUAGACUUGACACUAGCUAAAAAGUUAGCUACAAGUUGAGAAGUUAACGGGAAGUUGAAAAGUUAGUUAGUAAUAGAAAAGAUUAAAAAUAAAAUCUAAUAAAUGUUCAAGGACAAAAAAAGAAUAAAUAUAAAAAGUUAAAACUGAGCGUUUUAAUAAAUACUACUUCAAGUAGUGUCUAAAAAAAGUUAGAAGCUACCAAGAAAUGAGCUGAAAACUAUAUAAUAACAGAAAAAUAAUAAAAUCAUGAUUUAUUUAAAAAUAGUAAUUAGGAAAGAUGGUAAUUAUAUUAAGAAUAAAAAGAAAAGAAAAUAUAAAAAAUUAAAAAUUAGAAACUAGUAUUUUUAAAAAUGAUAGUUCAAGUAGUAUGUCAAAAAAUAUUAAAAAUUAUUAAAAAAAAUUAUUUAUCAAAUAAUUAAAUAAAUUUUUCAACUAAAAAAAUAAAAAUUAACUAAAAUAUCUGAUGUAACAUAAUCUUAGACAUUUCUUUUAUGAGAAAAUGAGGCAUGUUGAAAAGGUAAAACAUGACACACUUUCAUUUGUAUGAUAUAAUUCAAGGUCUUAAAAAUAGUUACACUAUCAACUAACUAAAUGCAUAAAUUAUUACUGUGAUUCUCAGACAAAUUCAAAUGUAUUUGCAAAGAUAAGCAGAAGCCUAUAUAAUUUAUACAUUUCUAAAUUUUAAAGGGUAGAUAAUAAAAUCACAUCACAUUACGGGUAAGAAAGUGGGGAUUUUUGCUGUGUACCAGCAAUUUCAAACAAUUACGUAUGUUUAUUUCUCUGUUCAGAUUUGGUUAAAACAUUAUCUAACGUGUAACUUGCUUAUUUAUGGCCAAAACUUUACUCAAUUCAGAUCUGCAAGAAACUUGAAAAGUAGUAGUAUAUGAUAUUAAUAUGCGAAGAAAAACUAAUAGGACACUCAUGCUACAAAGUACCAAAAGAAGGCAUAGCAACCACACACACAAUAUAUAUAUAUAUAUAUAUAUAUAUAUAUUGCUGCUAGCUAGACACGAGCACAACAUGAGACAGAAAUGCGACAAAAAGUUGUUUUGCUUUAAUUUGCAUGCAUGAAAAAGUUUUCAGAAGCUGAGUUAUGUAGGGUUUAAAGAUGUGAAACGUGUACCGGAUGGUUACUUGUUGGUCAUCUAACUUUUGAAUUUUAUGUGAUUGGAUUUGUCUGUUGAAUUUCAAAGAUGGUAAUAAUAGUAAUAUUUAUAAGAGUUUAUUGGGGGUUGAAAUUAAGUCUGGUUAGUUGACAAUACAGAGAAAACUUGCAAGGAACUAUUUUCAUUGGCAAACAUCUCUAGUAAUCCUUAGCUUUGUGGUAGCUUUCUAAAAGGAAAACAUUGACUUUCGUGGAUAAAGGGAAUUGUUUAACACUUCAAAGUUCAAAUCAAAGGUGAUUAAAAUGUCUUCAUUUGCUUCUAAUGUAGAUAGAUAGUAGAUUAGUUGACCAACAACGGUUCUGAUUAAAGUUUGAUAUGAAGGAUACUGUGUGGAUAAGAAGUUGAGCUAACAAUACUUCCAUGCACCACCCCAUUCCCACCAACUCACGCUGCAUAGCCCAUCAUUGAGUUACACAGUUUCGUCUAUAAAAGUCCUAAUAUACAAUACAACACCAGCAGUGUACGCUCACAAAACAUCUCUAAACGCUUGUAAAGAUCUCCAUCUCCCAUUGAUCCUCCUGAAGUUUUUGUAUUCAACCAUGGCUACCUAUAGUUGGUCAACUGAGAUAUUUUCAUUUUUGGUUCUAACGUUGUUGUCGACAAGCAGUCACACAAUGGUUGCUGGAGCACGCAAUCUUCUCGAAUCAACCUUGUCAAAACCAGAAGUGCCAACACUUCCCAAACCUCAUGAGUUGCCACCAUUGCCGGAAAUCCCUGAAUUGCCCAAGUUUGAGUCGCCUAAGAUCCCUGCACUCCCGAAACCUGAGCUACCUAAGGUCCCUGAACUGUCUAAGCCUGACAUGUCUAAAGUUCCUGAGUUGCCUAAAGUCCCAGAAAGGCUUAAAGUACCCGAGAUAUCUAAGAUCCUUGAAUUGUCUAAGCCCGAGUUGCCUAAAGGACCAGAAUUACUUAAGCCUGAGUUACCUAGUGUACCUAAUAUCCCUAAGGUUCCUGAAUUGCCUAAACCAGAGUUGCCUGAAGUCCCAAAGUUGCCUAAGCCUGAGUUGCCAAAAGUACCAGAAUUGCCUAAACCUGAGUUACCUAAAGUACCUGAGAUCCCUGAAUUGCCUAAUCUCGAGUUGCCUAAAGUAACACAAUUGCCUAAGUCUAAGUUACCAAAAGUACCUGAGAUCCCUAAGGUCCCUGAAUUUCCUAAGCCCGAGUUGCCUAAAGUUCCUGAAUUGUCUAAGCCAGAGUUACCAAAAGCACCUGAGAUUCCUAAGGUCCCUGAAUUUCCUAAGCCCGAGUUGCCUAAAGUUCCUGAAUUGUCUAAGCCAGAGUUACCAAAAGCACCUGAGAUCCCUAAGGUCCCUGAAUUUCCUAAGCCCGAGUUGCCUAAAGUUCCUGAAUUGCCUAAGCCAGAGUUACCAAAAAUACCUGAAAUCCCUAAGGUCCCUGAAUUUCCUAAGCCAGAGUUGCCUAAAGUUCCUGAAGUGCCUAAGCCAGAGUUGUCAAAAGUACCAAAGCUACCUAAGUCUGAGUUACCUAAAGUACCUGAGAUUCCUGAAUUGCCUAAGUCCGAGUUGC
rnacentral:lncRNA from 1 species